rnacentral:rRNA from 1 species
GAUGAACGCUGGCGGUAUGCUUAACACAUGCAAGUCGAACGGACUCUUCGGGGUUAGUGGCGGACGGGUGAGUAACGCGUGAGAAUCUGGCUUUGGGUUCGGGACAACCACUGGAAACGGUGGCUCAUACAGGAUGUGCCGAGAGGUAAAAGAGACAGUUCCUGCAGAUGAGCUCGGGUCUGAUUUGCUAGUUGGUGAGGUAACGGCUCACCAAGGCAGCGAUCAGUAGCUGGUCUGAGAGGAUGACCAGCCACACUGGGACUGAGACACGGCACAGUCUCCUACGGGAGGCAGCAGUGGGGAAUUGUCCGCAAGGGGCGAAAGCCUGGCGGAGCAAUACCGCGUGAGAGAAGAAGGCUCUGGGGUUGUAAACCUCUUUUCUUAGGGAAGAACAAAAUGACGGUACCUAAGGAAUCAGCAUCGGCUAACUCCGUG